AUUGAACGCUGGCGGCAGGCCUAACACAUGCAAGUCGAACGAGUGGCGGACGGGUGAGUAAUGUCUGAGAAACUGCCUGCGGGAGGGGGAUACCUACUGGAAACGGUAGCUAAUACCGCAUACCCUCAGAUGUGCCCAGCUGGGCUUAGCUAGUUGGUGGGGUAACGGCUCAACAAGGCGACGAUCCCUAGCUGGUCUGAGAGGAAGACCAGCCACACUUGACCUGAGACACGGUCCAUACUCCUACGGGAGUCAGCAGUGGGGAAUAGUGCACAAUGGGCGCAAGCCUGAUGCAGCCAUGCCGCGUGUAUGAAUAAGGCCUUCGGGUUGUAAAGUACUUUCAGCGGGGAGGCGUUACCCGCAGAAGAAGCACCGGCUAACUCCGUGCCAGCAGCCGCGGUAAUAC
rnacentral:rRNA from 1 species